UACAAGAAAAUACCCUAGACUCUAAGACCUAUACAGACCCCUAAGCAAGAUCCGCCGCUGAGAACACAAACGACCCCCCCUCCCCCUCAACGUCUUCUUCUUCGUGACCCCUCAUCCAUGAACCUUGAGCUAUCAUCUUCUUCAUGAAGAGAAAGACAGCAGACCCUAGCGUGAGAAGAGCAGCUGCGCCGUCGCCCUCCAUAGCAGCCUAACACCACCAGCACAAACAACUCCAGCCGUCCCUCUUCGUCACCCAGCUUCCCGGAAAACACAUAGAGAGCGACCAGGAAAGAACGGAAACUAAAUCUAAUAAAGAGCAGCUCCAUCUUCGUCAACCUAAGCAAAAUCAACGCCCAGCAAUAGCCGUGAAAUCUGCCCGAAAAUCAACCCCAAUAACCAGCGAAAAGCAGCUACAGUAGCUCGUUUUCAGUUUGUUUGCCGCCGAGCUUACGGAUAGCUAGAGGUCCGUUGAGUUCCGUCGAGGUUCGAGUGUAGUCCGACGAGAUUCCGCUUCACCGAGCGAGUUCGUUGAUUGAUUAUCGUGUAUUUGAGCAGUUAUCAAAGAGUAAAAUGCAUUGUUGAACUGGCUGUUUGAUGCAGAGAUUGAAAGAUCCCGGUUUUGGAGCAUUUGGACCAUAGUGAGGUUGCUGCCUUCAGUCCAGCGGAGAACCGAGGUAGUCAUGCAGACGUCCGCAGGCCUUGGCGACCCCUUCUAUUCUAUUUCCUUUUGUUCUUACUUAUUUUAGAGACAGACAUGGAAUUUUCUUCGUUUAGACCCUUUUUGUAGUAUUCUUAGAUAGUCCGUGAGAUUGUGACACCAGUUCUGGGUGGAGUGUUGUUAUGGAAUCGUAUUCGCAUUAAGUUAAACUAUUAAAUUU